rnacentral:rRNA from 3 species
GGGAUUAGAUACCCCACUAUGCUUAGCCUUAAACCUAGAUGUUGAAUAUACAAACACAUCCGCCAGGGUACUACAAGCGCUAGCUUAAAACCCAAAGGACUUGACGGUGUCUCAGACCCACCUAGAGGAGCCUGUUCUAGAACCGAUAAUCCCCGUUAAACCUCACCACCCCUUGUUUUCCCCGCCUAUAUACCGCCGUCGCAAGCUUACCCUGUGAAGGACUAAUAGUAAGCAAAAUGGGUAAAUCCCAAAACGUCAGGUCGAGGUGUAGCUUACGAGGUGGGAAGAAAUGGGCUACAUUUUCUAUACCAGAAUAAUACGAACAGCACCAUGAAACUUGUGCUAGAAGGUGGAUUUAGUAGUAAAAAACAAAUAGAGAGUCUUUUUGAACCAGGCUCUGAGACGCGCACACACCGCCCC